rnacentral:rRNA from 1 species
CCCUAUGGGGUGCAGCAGGCGCGAAAACUUGGCAAUGCGAGCAAUCGUGACCAGGGAACUCCAAGUGCGUAGGGUAAGACCUACGCUUUUCUUGACUCUUCAAAGGUCUUGGAAUAAGGGGUGGGUAAGGACGGUGCCAGCCGCCGCGGUAAUACCGGCGCCUCAAGUGGUAGUCGCUUUUAUUGGGCCUAAAACGUCCGUAGCCGGUCUGGUGCAUUCGUGGGUAAAUCAACCCGCUCAACGGGUUGAAUUCUGCGAGCACGGCCAGACUUGGGACCGGGAGAGGUGUGGGGUACUCUCAGGGUAGGGGUAAAAUCCUGUCAUCCUGAGAGGACCACCUGUUGCGAAGGCGCCACACUAGAACGGAUCCGACGGUCAGGGACGAAACCUAGGGGCACGAACCGGAUUAGAUACCCGGGUAGUCCUAGGUGUAAACGCUGUGGACUUGAUGUUGGGGGCGCUCCGAGCGCUCUCAGUGUCGAAGCGAAGGUGAUAAGUCCACUGCCUGGGGAGUACGGUCGCAAGGCUGAAACUUAAAGGAAUUGGCGGGGGAGCACUGCAACCUGAGGGUUGUGCGGUUUAAUUGGAUUCAACGCCAGAAACUCACCAUGGCCGACGGACAAAUGAAAGCCAGUGUACGAGCUUGCUGGAUUGUUCGAGAGGUAGUGCAU